rnacentral:rRNA from 1 species
AGAGUUUGAUCCUGGCUCAGGACGAACGCUGGCGGCGCGCCUAACACAUGCAAGUCGAACGGAGCUUAGAGAGCUUGCUUUUUAAGCUUAGUGGCGAACGGGUGAGUAACGCGUGAGUAACCUGCCCUGGAGUGGGGGACAACAGUUGGAAACGACUGCUAAUACCGCAUAAGCCCACGGUACCGCAUGGUACUGAGGGAAAAGGAUUUAUUCGCUUUAGGAUGGACUCGCGUCCAAUUAGCUAGUUGGUGAGGUAACGGCCCACCAAGGCGACGAUUGGUAGCCGGACUGAGAGGUUGAACGGCCACAUUGGGACUGAGACACGGCCCAGACUCCUACGGGAGGCAGCAGUGGGGAAUAUUGCACAAUGGGGGAAACCCUGAUGCAGCGACGCCGCGUGGAGGAAGAAGGUUUUCGGAUUGUAAACUCCUGUCGUUAGGGACGAUAAUGACGGUACCUAACAAGAAAGCACCGGCUAACUACGUGCCAGCAGCCGCGGUAAAACGUAGGGUGCAAGCGUUGUCCGGAAUUACUGGGUGUAAAGGGAGCGCAGGCGGGAAGACAAGUUGGAAGUGAAAUCCAUGGGCUCAACCCAUGAACUGCUUUCAAAACUGUUUUUCUUGAGUAGUGCAGAGGUAGGCGGAAUUCCCGGUGUAGCGGUGGAAUGCGUAGAUAUCGGGAGGAACACCAGUGGCGAAGGCGGUCUACUGGGCACCAACUGACGCUGAGGCUCGAAAGCAUGGGUAGCAAACAGGAUUAGAUACCCUGGUAGUCCAUGCCGUAAACGAUGAUUACUAGGUGUUGGGGGAUUGACCCCCUCAGUGCCGCAGUUAACACAAUAAGUAAUCCACCUGGGGAGUACGACCGCAAGGUUGAAACUCAAAGGAAUUGACGGGGGCCCGCACAAGCAGUGGAGUAUGUGGUUUAAUUCGAAGCAACGCGAAGAACCUUACCAGGUCUUGACAUCCGAUGCAUAGCACAGAGAUGUGUGAAAUCCUUCGGGACAUCGAGACAGGUGGUGCAUGGUUGUCGUCAGCUCGUGUCGUGAGAUGUUGGGUUAAGU